rnacentral:rRNA from 1 species
AAAGGAAUUGACGGGGGCCCGCACAAGCGGUGGAGCAUGUGGUUUAAUUCGAUGCAACGCGAAGAACCUUACCUACUCUUGACAUCCAGAGAAUUCGCUAGAGAUAGCUUAGUGCCUUCGGGAACUCUGAGACAGGUGCUGCAUGGCUGUCGUCAGCUCGUGUUGUGAAAUGUUGGGUUAAGUCCCGCAACGAGCGCAACCCUUAUCCUUUGUUGCCAGCGCGUAAUGGCGGGAACUCAAAGGAGACUGCCGGUGAUAAACCGGAGGAAGGUGGGGAUGACGUCAAGUCAUCAUGGCCCUUACGAGUAGGGCUACACACGUGCUACAAUGGCGUAUACAAAGAGAAGCGAACUCGCGAGAGCAAGCGGACCUCAUAAAGUACGUCGUAGUCCGGAUCGGAGUCUGCAACUCGACUCCGUGAAGUCGGAAUCGCUAGUAAUCGUAGAUCAGAAUGCUACGGUGAAUACGUUCCCGGGCCUUGUACACACCGCCCGUCACACCAUGGGAGUGGGUUGCAAAAGAAGUAGGUAGCUUAACCUUCGGGAGGGCGCUUACCACUUUGUGAUUCAUGACUGGGGUGAAGUCGUAACAAGGUAACCGUAGGGGAACCUGCGGCUGGAUC